rnacentral:misc_RNA from 1 species
UCCUCCGCUUAUUGAUAUGCUUAAGUUCAGCGGGUAGUCCUACCUGAUUUGAGGCCAGAUAAUAAAAAGUCAUGUCCACGAGGUGGAACUUGUAUUGGAAAGCGGACAAGCGUCCUAGAAACGAGGCCACUCCGAAGAAUGUCCUUAGCGAAAUACUUAUUACGCCAAGUCAAACCAAGUCUCAAAGACAGAUCCAGCUAAUACAUUUAAGGUGAGCCGCUCGUAAAAGCGGCAAGCACCCAAUUCCAAGCCGAGACUAGAGCACAAAACCCAAGUCAAGGUUGAUAUUUUCAUGACACU